ACUGUCUCUCCUGCCGUCACGUGAAGAUGUGCUUGCUUCCCCUUUGCCCUUCCACCGUAAUUGUGAGUUUCCUGAGGCCUCACCAGCCAUGCCUCCUGUACAGCCUGUGGAACUCUUGAAACAUGGAUUUUUUCCUAAUAAUUGAAGACGGUUCAAGAAAAUAUCUUCUACAAGAAAAUAUGCAACUAGGAGUCCUGCAAUGAACGUUGUUUGCUUUCUUCAAUAUCAAUUAUAAUAAUAUUUUAUCUUUAAAAUCAGAAUUUUACCGAAACAGUUUUGUCAUUUUAUUAUUUAACUGAUGAGAAAAACUAUAUGUGAUUUAGAGUUGCCAUGAGUCCUGAUUCAAAUCAGAUUACUUUUCUUUUGCUAAAAACUUAGCGCAGUAGCCCACCUGCAAUCCUGCUUGCUUAAGGGGAAAUGGUACCUUCUUGGGACAGCUGCUGUUCAUAAUUCUCAGUCUAGCCUUGUGAGUAGCUGUUAAUUUGCCUAUGAACCUUUAUCAUGGUCUCUCCCCUCACAGAAUAAAAGAUUCUCUUGGCAGACAAAGCACAGGCCCUAGGCCAGAAAGGCUCAUUCCUGAAUCAGAGGUGUCUAUUACUUUUCUACUUGUUAAUAUAACAGAAAUGCCUUUCCUGUCACAGGGGAGAGUGGUUGGGAAAUUGCCUGUACUGACAAGCCCUUCUCAGAUAGGAGGAGCACAUAGACAUAACAUAAGCAUAUUUUCCUAGAAUAUUGUUUCAUGCUUUUCCCACUCAGGGCCAUGGCCAUUACUGGGGAGGGAAAACGACCUCAGGGCCUUGAGGUUUGUUUGUUGUGGUAUUAAUAACAUAUGAUGGCAAAGAUGAAUAUAGUUAUGCUAGCAUUCAAAUACAGUUGGAAAUGCAGUUAUUCUGUAGCAUACAGGUUAGGUAAAGUUUCUUUCUUCUGUUUCUAGAGCUUGUAAACAUAGGAGCGAUUGGAAUAGUUUAAGCAAAGUCAAAGUGAGAAAAUAUGCAGUGCCAGAAGCUUGUGUGAGGGAGUGGAAAUUUUUGCACAAAAGCCAGAAUUUGACUAGAUAAUACUUUUCAAAUUGUGGUCCCUGCAGUGGCAUUACAUGGGAACCUGGUAUAAAAGCAAAUUAUUGGGUCUCAACUAAAAUCCACUGAAUCAAAAACCUUAGGGGGUUUUUGAGCCCAGAGAUCCAUGUUUUAACAAGCCCCUCAGUGAUUUUGUUAUGCAUUAAACUUUGAGAACCACUGGACUAAAUUAUGUUGGUUUUUCAAUGGCAGGUGAAUAACAGGCAAUGGAAAUGCAUGGAAAUGCAUUUGUGAGCACAGUUUUGGAACGAUUAAAGCAUUUUAUUUAGGUAA